rnacentral:rRNA from 1 species
UACGUAGGUGGCAAGCGUUGUCCGGAAUUAUUGGGCGUAAAGCGCGCGCAGGCGGUCCUUUAAGUCUGAUGUGAAAGCCCACGGCUCAACCGUGGAGGGUCAUUGGAAACUGGGGGACUUGAGUGCAGAAGAGGAAAGCGGAAUUCCACGUGUAGCGGUGAAAUGCGUAGAGAUGUGGAGGAACACCAGUGGCGAAGGCGGCUUCCUGGUCCAGCACCGACGUUCAGGCACGAAAGCGUGGGGAGCAAACAGG